UCUCCUGCUGCAUUGUGAAGAAACUGCUUGCUUCCCUCUCACCCUCUGCAGUUUCCUGAGGCCUCCCCAGCCAUGCGGAACGGCCAGAUGCAGUGCCUCAUGCCUGUAAUCCCAGCACUUUGGGAGGCUGAGGGAGGAUUGCUUGAGCCUGCUUCCAUAUCGUAAACUGCCUUGGAACCAAUUACCACUACCAGGGAGACAAACUAUUGCUUAGAGGAUGCUGACAGGAGCAGCAUGCCAAAAUUGGAAGAAGGAGAAAGUUUAAGCUCUCCUCACUAUGAGUUUUCAAGUAUAAAAGACUUUUUCUUCCACGAUUUUGAGAACAACUGAGGACUCUUGUGACCAGGACAACAGGGAAGCUUGCAGCAAGAUAGCUCCAGGUUGGAUUCAUGCUUCGCACCCCAAGGGCUGCCAGCCAGAGAGGAGGAGAAGCAAUCACUCCUGCAGUUUCUGAACACUACACAGACGCCAGGUAGCUUCUUCAGGAGAACAGCCCUCUGAGGAGGCAGGAAGAGGAGGCUUAUCUUUCAGCAGCCGGAGCUGCUGAGAUCUCUGGGCAGAUUAAGCUCUCUCUAAUGGAUGGGCUCCAGCCUGGCACAUUCAGUGGAGAGGGAUCCACUCAUCCAUCAUCAACAUAAUAUGGUCCUCCCUGCACUUCACAGUGUCCUCUUGCUAUUGAAAAGGCUUUUUUGCCUUCUCAAGUUUCUUUGUCAACAGUCUACAGGAAGAAGCUCAGGCCGCCACCGGCAGAGGUGAAUGCAAGCUCACGUUUUAUUUCUGACUGCUUAAUCAUUGCCUCGAUCACUGCUCAAGCUCUGCCUUUGUUUCCAAAGGUUACCUGUGGGAAAACUUCUUUUUCUAUGCUGAAAUUAAUAGGGAGGCAAAGAUGAGUCCACUGAUAAGCAGAGCCUUAAAACUCACAUAGAGAAACAACUUUGCUGGAGUGUGUGUGAGUGAACCACUAAGGAAUCAGAUAGUGUGAUGGCAGUUAUCAUUGCAGGUUAAGACAUUUCUACAAAUAUUUCGACAUCUCCAUAUACUCACUCCUUUCCCCCCUGAGUGGAGAGACUCAGCUACCAAGAGAGGAAGCUCAAAAAAAACAGAAGCUUCAAACAAACAACCAA
rnacentral:lncRNA from 10 species